AGAGUUUGAUCAUGGCUCGAGGACGAACGCUGGCGGCGUGCUUAACACAUGCAAGUCGAACGGGGAUUAGUUGAUAGAGAGCUUCGGCAGGAAAUUGAUUAAUUCGAGUGGCGGACGGGUGAGUAACGCGUGAGCAACCUGUCCCAGACAGGGGGAUAACACUUGGAAACAGGUGCUAAUACCGCAUAAGACCACGGGAUCACAUGGUUCCGGGGUAAAAGGAGCAAUCCGGUUUGGGGUGGGCUCGCGUCCGAUUAGCCAGUUGGCGGGUAACGGCCCACCAAAGCGACGAUCGGUAGCCGACCUGAGAGGGUGAACGGCCACAUUGGAACUGAGAGACGGUCCAAACUCCUACGGGAGGCAGCAGUGGGGAAUAUUGGGCAAUGGGCGAAAGCCCUGACCCAGCAACGCCGCGUGAGUGAAGAAGGCCUUCGGGUUGUAAAGCUCUGUUAUAGUUGACGAAGGAAGUGACGGUAGGCUAUAAGGAAGCCCCGGCUAACUACGUGCCAGCCGCGGC
rnacentral:rRNA from 1 species